GGUUUCCAGAAUAAAGAACAGAAAUUGUGCGAUAAUUUUCAUAUAAAGAUCUUUCACAGACCAAAUGGAGGAGGAAGGAGUGUCCAUGUUCUGUGCCCUGAGUACAGAUUCUCUAAAAGAAAGAGAAAAGGAUAAAUUGUAUGUGCUCAGUUUUUUUCCCAAAAAUCAGUAGGACAAUUUACCCCCUACAGACAUAACUGAUCUUUUAAGUUUCUUAUUGUCUCCUCCGGAAGAGUAUUUUAAUUCUCUGCUUAGCAACUGCAGACUUAUUUUUUGCUGCAUUUUAAUUUUUGGAACCCAAACAACAUGACAUAUCUCAAUUUACAAGCUUAUCUUGAGAAUUAGAAAUUAAGAAGAAUUCAA